rnacentral:rRNA from 1 species
UUCCGUAGGUGAACCUGCGGAAGGAUCAUUGUCGGAACCU